CCUCAGACCUUCAGCAAAGGUUGUGGGGGAAUAACGGAAAUCAAGGAUGGUGCUCAUGGCAUCUGCAGUAACAGAGGGCAGAGAGUGAGCAUCUGGGAAUUCCCUUUGCCCAACGCCACAAAUCCAGUGGCUGCUUCCUGCUGCCCUGAGGGACAGCUCUGGCCUGACUGUAAUUUAUAGAUCAGUUCAACCUGAGCUGGUGUGAGCUGGAAUUGCAUGAGCCAAGCAAGUGCCUUGGGAAUUCCGAGGCCAUCAGCACAUCCCCAGCCUGACCAGGUCCAGUCUUUCAUUGCCACCAUGGAGGAUGGGGAAGAAAACACAACAGGAAUUGAGGGGUUCCACUGACAGCGGAGGAAGAAGUGUCCUGGGCCAUCAGGUCACCAGGAACCACGGGGCAGUGUAGCCCAGAGGCCUGCGGGAGGGAUGCAUUGCCAGGCUCAUCCUCCCCCAGACCAUGACCCCAGCCAGGGCGGCAGCCCCAGAGGUCAUUCCUUGCCCUAUAAAGUGUUCUGAUCAAAGUGGGAUCUUGGGAAUCUUCACAGGAGAACGUGGCCUCACAAAGUAACUCCUGCCUGCGUUGGUUCCCUGCGGAACCAAGGGGGUUGUUUUGGCCACU